rnacentral:rRNA from 1 species
UGGGGAAUUUUGGACAAUGGGCGCAAGCCUGAUCCAGCCAUGCCGCGUGCGGGAAGAAGGCCUUCGGGUUGUAAACCGCUUUGUCAGGGAAGAAAUCUUCUGAGUUAAUACCUCGGGAGGAUGACGGUACCUGAAGAAUAAGCACCGGCUAACUACGUGCCAGCAGCCGCGGUAAUACGUAGGGUGCAAGCGUUAAUCGGAAUUACUGGGCGUAAAGCGUGCGCAGGCGUUUUGUAAGACAGAGGUGAAAUCCCCGGGCUCAACCUGGGAACUGCCUUUGUGACUGCAAGGGCUUGAGUGCGGCAGAGGGGGAUGGAAUUCCGCGUGUAGCAGUGAAAUGCGUAGAUAUGCGGAGGAACACCGAUGGCGAAGGCAAUCCCCUGGGCCUGNACUGACGCUCAUGCACGAAAAGCGUGGGGGAGC